rnacentral:rRNA from 1 species
AUUGAACGCUGGCGGCAUGCCUUACACAUGCAAGUCGAACGGCAGCACGGGAGCAAUCCUGGUGGCGAGUGGCGAACGGGUGAGUAAUAUAUCGGAACGUGCCCGGUCGUGGGGAUAACGUAGCGAAAGCUACGCUAAUACCGCAUACGAUCUACGGAUGAAAGCGGGGGAUCGCAAGACCUCGCGCGAUUGGAGCGGCCGAUAUCAGAUUAGGUAGUUGGUGAGGUAAAGGCUCACCAAGCCGACGAUCUGUAGCUGGUCUGAGAGGACGACCAGCCACACUGGGACUGAGACACGGCCCAGACUCCUACGGGA